ACCGAUUAUCAAGAGCUAGACGUAUUAUUGAAAAUUCAUUUGGGAUUCUAGUCUCAAGAUGGAGAAUUUUUCAACGUAGUAUAUGUUUAAACCCAGAACAUAUAGAUACAAUAAUAAUGGCUGCAGUAAAUUUGCAUAAUUUUUUAAUGACAGAAAAUAACAGUAACAGACGAAAACAUUUAUUGUCCUCUAAAUUAUGUUGAUAGUGAAGACAACAUUGGAAAUAUUACACAAGGUGCAUGGAGGUUUAGUUUAAAUAAUGUAAAUAAUUUGCGACGUACGAAUAUACACAGAGCAACAAGAGAAGCCUAUGUUCAACGAGACACUCUAUGUGAAUAUUUAUCAUCACCAUAAGGUGAAGUACCAUGGCAAUUGGAAUAUAUUCAUAGGGGAUAUAACAGAGAUAUACAAUAAAAAUAUUAUACAAUAUUUUCAUUAUUUGACCUUUUAGUUGAGAUUUUUGAGGUUCCGAAUUUUUUUUUAAUUGACAUGCAACUGCUUUUGCAAAAAUGUCAUCUUCAUCCGUUGCAUCAAAGAAUGUUACAUUUGGAGCUUUGUUUUCUAAAUGUGAUGAAACUACUGACGUUAACUUUAAAAAUGAUUCUUCCAUCUUAUCUGCUGAAGGGGUGCGUUUAAUAUUUUUUUUUAAUCUUUUUGGUAGAUUAGAUGACAUGCCUGAUGACGAAUCAAAAGAUAAUGUUGGAGAUACCAAUUCUCGAUCAAGUUCAUAUGAAAUUUUACUGUUAGGUUCAGGAUUUAUAGGAAAUAAUCUGCAUAGCUUACUAUGUUUAUCUGGUUCUUCCAUAUUUCUCUGGGAAUAAUUAUCGCUAUUAUGUGAGCAAGAUUUGAGAACUGAGUAAGAAGGAGAAUGGAAUGUAG